GACGAACGCUGGCGGCGUGCUUAACACAUGCAAGUCGAACGAAGUGGCGAACGGGUGAGUAACGCGUAAUCAACCUGCCCUUCAGAGGGGGAAAACAGUUGGCAACGACUGCUAAUACCGCAUACUGAAGGAGGGGAAUGCGUAUGAUUAGCUGGUUGGAGGGGUAACGGACCACCAAGGCGAUGAUCAGUAGCAGGUCUGAUAGGAUGCACGGGCACAGUGGGAUUGAGACACGGCCCAGACUCCUACGGGAGGCAGCAGUGGGGAAUCUUCCGAAAUGGACGAAAGUCUGACGGAGCAACGCCGCGUGAUUGAUGACGGCCUUCGUGUUGUAAAGCUCUGUUAAUCGGGACGCGGUACCGGAAUAGAAAGCCACGGCUAACUACGUGCCAGCAGCCGCGGUAAUAC
rnacentral:rRNA from 1 species